CUUCCUCCCUCAUUUCAAAACACUACACAGCAGCUUCUCUCUCUCUCUCGCCUGGACUCCGCCGCCGCCAGCUUCUCCGCCGCCGAUCGGUGGCGGCCCUCUCCUCCACCGCGUCUCUCUCUCUCUCCUUCACCCCCUUCUCUCUUCCCUUAUCUCCUCACAGUCACGCCGCCGUCACUCCCGUUCCAGUUUCGCCGCCGCCGCCGCCACUGUGCAUGCACAGGCGGCAGCUUCACCGUCCUCUUCCCGGGAGUUCGCCGUCUGCAUGCCCCCCCUCUCUCUGUGCAGAUUCGCCACACCGCCAUCGCCGCUGCGAGUCCGCCGUGGCAGCGGGUUCGGGUUCGCGCCCCGCCGCCGUCACCGAGAAUCUCCCCAGCCGCCGAAGCCGUUCCCGACAGAUUCAAGGAAUAAAAAGGGCAGAUGUGUUGUUUUUAUUUAUUUAUUUAUUUUUUUUAUCGUGGCUGCCAUCGAUGUCGACGGAGUGCCGAGCUCGAUGCCGGAAGUUCUUUGACAGAUUCCUUUAUCGUUACAAGCUAAGUUCUUAAUAUCCUUUGAGAAUUUGCUAUUCUUGUUUUCUUGGAAUGCUAUGGAUAUUAUGUCCCUGCUAAAUUGUUCAUAUGAAAUACCUAUAAAUGCUAAAUUGGUGUUCUAUAAUAAUGGGUGCUAAGUUCAUAUAUUGGCAGAGACAUGCUUGGCAAUAUGUUGUAAUAUGUGAAAGAAAGAGAGGUGUUAGAUGGUACUUACUUUUGUGGUGUGAAGAAGAGAAUAAGUGGUUGCUUUUAGACUUUGUCCUCUAUGAGGUGGACGUCCGGUGGAGGGAUUCUUGCUGCCUUUGGAGAUGAGAUAAUUUUGGUAUGAGGUGGGGCAAGUGAAAGGGAUGGAUCAUGGAUGAUAUUUAGGAUGAGGAAACAAGUUGCAGACAAAAAUCAUAUCUUACAAAAUUCUCCUGAUACUUGAAGAUAUGGUUGCAAGAUACACAUUAAAUGCUGCAUUAAAUGCAGCCGUAAAAGAAACGAUCUUGUAGGAUAUUGUUAGGAUUUGUAUUAGCUUUUCAAAUCUGCUUUGUUUUCCAUCUUGCCUUAUUUACUCAUUUAAAAAAAAGCAUUUGCUUACUAUUGUUUUAUUUGGUGCAGGAAAGAACCCGUUUCAAGCUCGCAACUGACCGCGUAGUAGUUCCCGAUCUUCUUUAGAACGAAGGAUGUAUUAAAUUUUGUUGAAAUUUUAUGGAUGUAUCGGACAUUAUUAUUAUUUUGAUUUUUGGGCUCUUAUUUAUUUAUUUAAA